UACGUAGGGUGCAAGCGUUAAUCGGAAUUACUGGGCGUAAAGCGUGCGCAGGCGGUUUUGUAAGUCUGACGUGAAAUCCCCGGGCUCAACCUGGGAAUUGCGUUGGAGACUGCAAGGCUAGAAUCUGGCAGAGGGGGGUAGAAUUCCACGUGUAGCAGUGAAAUGCGUAGAGAUGUGGAGGAACACCGAUGGCGAAGGCAGCCCCCUGGCUCAAGAUUGACGCUCAUGCACGAAAGCGUGGGGAGCAAACAGG
rnacentral:rRNA from 1 species